rnacentral:rRNA from 1 species
UACGUAGGGUGCGAGCGUUGUCCGGAAUUACUGGGCGUAAAGAGCUCGUAGGUGGUUUGUCGCGUUGUUCGUGAAAACUCACAGCUCAACUGUGGGCGUGCGGGCGAUACGGGCAGACUGGAGUACUGCAGGGGAGACUGGAAUUCCUGGUGUAGCGGUGGAAUGCGCAGAUAUCAGGAGGAACACCGGUGGCGAAGGCGGGUCUCUGGGCAGUAACUGACGCUGAGGAGCGAAGGCCAGGGGAGCAAACGGG